rnacentral:rRNA from 1 species
AAGAACCUGAAACCGUGUACGUACAAGCAGUGGGAGCACAGGUUUACCUGUGUGACUGCGUACCUUUUGUAUAAUGGGUCAGCGACUUAUAUUCUGUAGCAAGGUUAACCGUAUAGGGGAGCCGGAGGGAAACCGAGUCUUAAUUGGGCGUUAAGUUGCAGGGUAUAGACCCGAAACCCGGUGAUCUAGCCAUGGGCAGGUUGAAGGUUGGGUAACACUAACUGGAGGACCGAACCGACUAAUGUUGAAAAAUUAGCGGAUGACCUGUGGCUGGGGGUGAAAGGCCAAUCAAACCGGGAGAUAGCUGGUUCUCCCCGAAAGCUAUUUAGGUAGCGCCUCGUGAAUUCAUCUCCGGGGGUAGAGCACUGUUUCGGCUAGGGGGCCAUCCCGGCUUACCAACCCGAUGCAAACUGCGAAUACCGGAGAAUGUUAUCACGGGAGACACACGGCGGGUGCUAACGUCCGUCGUGAAGAGGGAAACAACCCAGACCGCCAGCUAAGGUCCCAAAGUCAUGGUUAAGUGGGAAACGAUGUGGGAAGGCCCAGACAGCCAGGAUGUUGGCUUAGAAGCAGCCAUCAUUUAAAGAAAGCGUAAUAGCUCACUGGUCGAGUCGGCCUGCGCGGAAGAUGUAACGGGGCUAAACCAUGCACCGAAGCUGCGGCAGCGAACGUAUCACUUAAAGCGAUUCAGCGGGUUACGAUUGACGGAGCGAAGCGACGUCAAAGCGUAUACAAAGUCGAGUCGGUUUAAGGAUACGUUCGUUGGGUAGGGGAGCGUUCUGUAAGCCUGUGAAGGUGUGUCGUGAGGCAUGCUGGAGGUAUCAGAAGUGCGAAUGCUGACAUAAGUAACGAUAAAGCGGGUGAAAAGCCCGCUCGCCGGAAGACCAAGGGUUCCUGUCCAACGUUAAUCGGGGCAGGGUGAGUCGACCCCUAAGGCGAGGCCGAAAGGCGUAGUCGAUGGGAAACGGGUUAAUAUUCCCGUACUUGGUGUUACUGCGAAGGGGGGACGGAGAAGGCUAUGUUGGCCGGGCGACGGUUG